UACGUAGGGGGCAAGCGUUGUCCGGAAUCAUUGGGCGUAAAGAGCGUGUAGGCGGCCCGAUAAGUCCGCUGUGAAAGUCCAGGGCUCAACCCUGGGAUGCCGGUGGAUACUGUCGGGCUCGAGUCCGGAAGAGGAGUGUGGAAUUCCUGGUGUAGCGGUGAAAUGCGCAGAUAUCAGGAGGAACACCAAUGGCGAAGGCAGCACUCUGGGACGUGACUGACGCUGAGACGCGAAAGCGUGGGGAGCGAAACAGG
rnacentral:rRNA from 1 species